rnacentral:rRNA from 1 species
CCUACGGGGGGCAGCAGUGGGGAAUAUUGGACAAUGGGGGGAACCCUGAUCCAGCCAUGCCGCGUGUGUGAAGAAGGCCCUCGGGUUGUAAAGCACUUUCAGUGAGGAAGAACGCCUGGUGGUUAAUACCCAUCAGGAAAGACAUCACUCACAGAAGAAGCACCGGCUAACUCCGUGCCAGCAGCCGCGGUAAUACGGAGGGUGCGAGCGUUAAUCGGAAUUACUGGGCGUAAAGCGCGCGUAGGUGGCUUGAUAAGCCGGUUGUGAAAGCCCCGGGCUCAACCUGGGAACGGCAUCCGGAACUGGCAAGCUAGAGUGCAGUAGAGGAAGGUAGAAUUCCCGGUGUAGCGGUGAAAUGCGUAGAGAUCGGGAGGAAUACCAGUGGCGAAGGCGGCCUUCUGGACUGACACUGACACUGAGGUGCGAAAGCGUGGGUAGCAAACAGGAUUAGAUACCCGUGUAGUC